AUUCUCCUGUCGCAGCCUCUCAAGUAUCUGAGACCACAGGGUACAACAGUCCCAGCCCCGCCCAUCACACCCACAACCCUUAUGUACGCCCAAGGGUGCCUGGCAUGCAAGAUUCUAAGAGCAAUGGGUUGCAAGUCCCUUUGACAAAGUUUGCCUGGGGACCAGGAAAUUUAAGUCUACAUCCGAGGACCAAAGAUAUUUAAAUUAAAAACUUCCUACCAAAUCCAACAGCAGCUAAGAGAGUGGCGAAUGCGAUAUUACAGAAAUUGGUCUGCAGCCUCCAAAUGCCAAAGUGGCAGCUUGUUAUUUAUGAUAAGAUAAGGAGCAGCUCGUUACUAAAGAUAUCCAUGUCAACCCCACGCAUUGAGCAGAACAAAGGAUCGUUAAUGAUUCCUGGGCUUGUCAUGUUAGAAUGGGGUGGCGAUGAUAAAAGAGCAUCUAUAUAUGCUUUCCUUGUGACAUUUCUUAUUUUUAAACUCCAAUAUAAAAAUAUGUGUUAAUUGUUAUGAUUUGUGUCACAUGCUAUGCUCCAGGGCUGGACAGGAAACAGUGUCCCCAUUCUAGUAUUUUUAUAAUAAGCAAUAAACAAACAAUAAACAAUGACAACAAGAAGAGAA